AGGAUGACGGUCCUAUGGAUUGUAAACUGCUUUUGUACAGGAAGAAACCCUCCUACGUGUAGGAGCUUGACGGUACUGUAAGAAUAAGGAUCGGCUAACUCCGNGCCAGCNGCCGGGGANAUACNGGNAGGAUCCAAGCGUUAUCCGGAAUCAUUGGGUUUAAAGGGUCCGUAGGCGGUUUAGUAAGUCAGUGGUGAAAGCCCAUCGCUCAACGGGGACGCCGNNUUUGAUACUGGCUAGACUUGAAUUAUUAGGAAGUAACUAGAAUAUGUAGUGUAGCGGNGNAAUGCUUUAGAGAUUACAUGGAAUACCAAUUGCGAAGGCAGGUUACUACUAAUGGAUUGACGCUGAUGGACGAAAGCGUGGGUAGCGAACAGGAUUAGAUACCCUGGUAGUCCCANGGGCGAAUUC
rnacentral:rRNA from 1 species